rnacentral:rRNA from 1 species
AGCAGUAGCCACGGUAAUACAGAGGGUGCGAGCGUUAAUCGGAUUUACUGGGCGUAAAGCGUGCGUAGGCGGCUUUUUAAGUCGGAUGUGAAAUCCCUGAGCUUAACUUAGGAAUUGCAUUCGAUACUGGGAAGCUAGAGUAUGGGAGAGGAUGGUAGAAUUCCAGGUGUAGCGGUGAAAUGCGUAGAGAUCUGGAGGAAUACCGAUGGCGAAGGCAGCCAUCUGGCCUAAUACUGACACUGAGGUACGAAAGCAUGGGGAGCAAACAGGAUUAGAUACCCCGGUAGUCCCUGUCUCUUAUAC